AUCUAAACCCGAUUAAUGUGGAAAUACUUUUGUUGCAAGGUCUUCAUCAGGCUCACACUGACAUUCACAAAAGAUUGGAACGAAAGCGGGAACAACC
rnacentral:sRNA from 1 species